rnacentral:rRNA from 1 species
UAGGGAAUCUUCGGCAAUGGACGAAAGUCUGACCGAGCAACGCCGCGUGAGUGAAGAAGGUUUUCGGAUCGUAAAACUCUGUUGUUAGAGAAGAACAAGGACGUUAGAAACUGAACGUCCCCUGACGGUAUCUAACCAGAAAGCCACGGCUAACUACGUGCCAGCAGCCGCGGUAAUACGUAGGUGGCAAGCGUUGUCCGGAUUUAUUGGGCGUAAAGCGAGCGCAGGCGGUUUCUUAAGUCUGAUGUGAAAGCCCCCGGCUCAACCGGGGAGGGUCAUUGGAAACUGGGAGACUUGAGUGCAGAAGAGGAGAGUGGAAUUCCAUGUGUAGCGGUGAAAUGCGUAGAUAUAUGGAGGAACACCAGUGGCGAAGGCGGCUCUCUGGUCUGUAACUGACGCUGAGGCUCGAAAGCGUGGGGAGCAAACAGG